CACCAAACUGCAUGUUUAUAGCACUUAUGCAUUGAAGCUGAUCAGAGGACUCUAGGAGGCUGGAAUGUAAAAGUAGGAAGUCAAGAAAUACCUGAAGUAGCAGACAAAUUUGGCCUUGGAGUACAGAAUGAAGCAGGGCAAAUGCUAAUAGAGUUUUGCCAGGAGAACACAAAGUCAUAGCAAACACCCUCUUCCAACAACACAAUAGAAGACGCCACACAUGGACAUCACCAGAUGGUCAACAACAAAAUCAUAUUGAUUAUAUUCUUUGAAACCAAAGAUGGAGCAGCUCUAUACAGUCAGCAAACACAAGACUGGGAGCUGACUAUGGCUCACAUCAUGAACUCCUUACUGCCCAAUUCAGACUUAAAUUGAAGAGAGUAGGGAAAACCCCUAGACCAUUCAGGUAUGACCUGGAUUAAAUCCCUUAUGAUUACACAGUAAAAGUGAAAAAUAGAUUUAAGGGAUUAGAUCUGAUAGAGUUCCUGAAUAACUAUGGAUGGAGGUUCGUGACAUUGUACAGGAGGCUGGGGUCAAAAUAAUCCCUAAGAAAAAGAAGUGCAAAAAGGCAAACUGGCUGUCUGAGGAGGCCUUACAAAUAGCUGUGAAAAGACGAGAAGUGAAAGGCAAAAGAGAAAAGGAUAGAUAUACCAAUGUGAAUGCAGAGUUCCAAAGAAUAACAAGGAGAAAUGAGAAAGCGUUCCUCAGUGAUCAGUGCAAAGAAAUAGAGGAAAACAAUAGAAUGGGAAAGACUAAAGAUCUCUUCAAGAAAAUUAGAGAUACCAGGGAACAUUUUAUGCAAAGAUGGACAGAAUUAAGAACAGAAAUGGUAUGGACCUAACAGAAACAGAAGAUACCAAGAAGAGGUGGCAAGAAUACACAGAAGAACUAUACAAAAAAACAGAUCUUCAUGACCCAGAUAAUCACAAUGCUGUGAUCUAUCACCUAGAACCAGACAUCCUGGAAUGUGAAGUCAAGUGGACCUUAGGAAGCAUCACUAUGAAUAAAGCUAGUGGAGGUGAUAGAAUUCAGUUGAGCUAUUUCAAAUCCUAAAAGAUGAUGCUGUGAAAGUGCUGCACUCAAUAUGCCAGCAAAUUUGGAAAACUCAGCAGUGGCCACAGGACAGGAAAAGGUCAGCUUUCAUCCCAAUCCCAGAGAAAGGCAAUGCCAAAGAAUGCUCAAACUACCGCACAAUUGCACUUGUCUCAUACGCUAGCAAAAUAAUGCUCAAAAUUCUCCAAGUUAGUCUUCAACAGUAUGUGAACCAUGAACUUCCAGAUGUUCAAGCUGGAUUUACAAAAGGCAGAAGAACCAGAGAUCAAAUUGUCAACAUCUGUUGGAUCAUCAAAAAAGCAAGAGAGUUCCAGAAAAAUAUCUACUUCUGCUUUAGGCCAAAGCCUUUGACUGUGUGGAUUACAACAAACUAUGGAAAUUCUUCAAGAGAUAGGAAUACCAGACCACAUGACCUGCCUCCUGAGAAAUCUGUAUGCAGGUCAAGAUGUAACAGUUAGAACCACACAUGGAAAAACAGACUGGCUCCAAAUCAGGAAAGGAGUACCUCAAGGCUGCAUAUUGUCACCUUGCUUAUUUAACUUAUAUGCAGAGUACAUCAUGAGAAAUGCUGGGCUGUAUGAAGCAUAGCUGGAAUCAAGAUUUCCAGGAGAAAUAUCAAUCACCUCAGAUAUGCAGAUGACCACCCUUAUGGGAGAAAGUGAAGAAGAACUAAGGAGCCUCUUGAUGAAAGUGAAAGAGGAGAGUGAAAAAUUUGGCUUAAAACUCAACAUUCAAAAACUAAGAUUCAUGGCAUCUGGUCCCAUCACUUCAUGGCAUAUAGUUGGGGAAACAAUGGAAAUAGUCACAGACUAUUUUUGUGGGCUCCCAAAUCACUGCAGAUGGUGACUGCAGCCAUGAAAUUAAAAGACGCUUGCUCCUUGGAAGAAAAGCUAUGACCAACCUAGACAGCAUAUUAAAAAUCAGAGUCAUUACUUUGCCAACAAAG
ensembl:lncRNA